rnacentral:lncRNA from 1 species
CAUUAUUCCCGAGCCAACCCUGGACUAACCUGUUUAUUUAUAGAUAACAACCGGUAAUUGCUGACAUUGCAUUCUUGCCGAACUUUAUCUCUUAAUUGUUUACAACCAUUGUUUGAUGUUUACAACCUAUAACAUAUCAUAAGCAUUUUAACCCAGACUUAUCUUUUGAUGAUUAUGAAUUCUACCCGGGAAUUAUCUUGCAUAGUAAGAACUUUUCCCGUAAAUUAUCUUUUUACCUUUACCAAUGUCAUAGUGUGUCUAUAUAAGCACAUGAAUUGUUAUUGUACAUAAUUAGUUUGUGACCAGCUUUCUAUUUGAAUAAAGCACAUAGUGAGGUCUGAAUAACUUUUAUUUGUGUGAAGUUCAAUUAGUCAGAGUUAUAAAACUAGUUCAACAUUACUGGUGCUUCUACGAACCCCAGACUGCUGGAAGCACAACGUAAUUACUGUACGAACUCACAACGGCAUCCUGAAGCGAGCCAUACCAAGACUUUGUCAGCUACCAGUGCACGUGAAUAGUGACUCAUAAUGACUUAAGCUAACAGACAUUUGUUUUGUUCCUUUUUGUGUUUUUUAUUUCAGAAUAUUUGUUUAUUUUAAUAAUUAUGUUGUUGAACUCACAGUUCAAGGUGGCAGUAUGUUCACGAAUUUCUUUCUUUAUAUUAAAUUUUUGUAAGUUCAGCAACAACGCCAACGACAGUGUGUUGGUACGUAGUGAUGCUAGGGCGACGAGACAGAAUUAAUUUGAAUGUCGAGCGUAAUACAGUUAUGCAUUCGUUUUAUUCAUUCAACAUUAUCAAUUAAAUCAGCUCAGAUUAUACAGUCCACUCUAUUAGACUGGACAGAAACCUUCACAAUACGUGAAGUAGACCAAAAAAAUCCAGAACCUAUAUCUUAUUUAUCUCAGAAGGGAUGCGGUGCAACUUUUAGUAGCCGUUGCCAUGAAGCAGAUUGUGAUUCUGCAUUCAAAACCCAUAAGAAUUUAGUGGACCAUUUGCAGAGAAUUCAUCUGCUGAAGUUUGAAACAGAGUGCCAUGUCAUGAAAAAUAUAAAUGUUUUGUUAAUGCUAAAAUCAGAAUAACACUAUUUUGAAAAUUAUUUUUAUUUAUUUCAGAUUUUGACAUUUGGAAAUCAAAUACUGGAACAAUUAACAAUUGCUCUUAUGUUUUGAAAAGUAGUAAUGCUAGUACUAUUGGUGAAAUAGUACAAGUGCAACAGGAGUACAACAAAUGAGUACUAAGGAAUAAGCAAUAAAUAUCACCAUGGUUUCCAGCAGCUGAAACGUUCACGAAUAGAAAAGAUACCAUAGUGCAGAGUGUAUUCUUUUCAGCAAUCAAAGACACCAUAGAUGUAGUUGGGAAAUUGGGUGAAAAAAAAAACUGACGGAGACGGGACUAGACCCGAAAUUGAAACUCAGGACCUCUGGCACAGUAGCUUCGGGUUUCAACAACUACCUACUUCAAGAACCUCCUCACAAGUUGAUGUGACAUACAUUUAUUCGGGUUUUCAAACACUUUCAUUUUAUUAUUGAGACUCAUACUAAUAAAAUUUAUUCUGAUUUUCACAA